UACAGAGGUCCCGAGCGUUGUUCGGAUUCACUGGGCGUAAAGGGUGCGUAGGUGGUGAGGUAAGUCGGAUGUGAAAUCUCCAAGCUCAACUUGGAAAUGGCAUUGGAAACUACCUUGCUGGAGGUUUGGAGGGGGGACUGGAAUUCUCGGUGUAGCAGUGAAAUCGUAGAUAUUCGCAAGAACACCAGUGGCGAAGGCGGCUCACUGGCCCGAUACUGACGCUGAGGCACGAAAGCGUGGGGAGUAAACAGGG
rnacentral:rRNA from 1 species